rnacentral:lncRNA from 10 species
UGCAUGCAAAACAUCUAGUAUAUAGUAAACUAACUCUUAUGUAAAUAUUAGCUAUUAUUUUAUUACAUAUAAAUAAAAAGGGCUAAGACAAUAUAAAUCUUGAUGUGUUCUCAAAUACAGCAUUUCUUUCUAAAAUGAUUUUUCUUCUGAAUGUCUGCUAAAAUUUCUGGAUUUCCUAUUGAAAUUCUCAGUUAAUCUACUGAAACAAUCUCAUUCAUGUACUGAAAGGACCCUUCCUCCAUACCACUGAUCCAGGAGAAACAGUCUGUAUCAAUUACCACUCUGUUCCUUCCAUGCCUGCACUUUGACCCUGGCAUGGCGUCUUGAUUUUUCCUUAGCAGGAACAAUAACAGCUUUGGUAUUCUGGUGUGAAUUAUUUAUAUGCUUGCUUCUAGUUUGGUUCCUCCAGCUUUUGUCCCACUCUCAGUGAAAAGAUCUAGUUGCAGACCUCAGAUCCCACAAAUUGAGAACAAUUUUCCUGUAAUUAUCUGUGUAUAGGGUGAUCUGGUUAUACUAUAAUGCUCAUGAUCUUAAAGGUUUCUGUGGCAAACAAAAUAUUGAGACUCUAUCUUUUGAAAAGUGGGAAAUAAUUUAAGAUGCUUUCACAGAGGAAUGAAACAGCUUUAACAAAUUCAGAUGAGUUGAAUGGACUAGAAGCAGGACUGCCCCAUAGAACGCUGUUUUA